AACGAACGCUGGCGGCAUGCCUAACACAUGCAAGUCGAACGAGACCUUCGGGUCUAGUGGCGCACGGGUGCGUAACGCGCGGGAACCUGCCUUUAGGUUCGGAAUAACUCUCCGAAAGGGGUGCUAAUACCGAAUAAUGUCUUCGGACCAAAGAUUUAUCGCCUUUAGAUGGGCCCGCGUAAGAUUAGCUUGUUGGUGGGGUAAAGGCCUACCAAGGCGACGAUCUUUAGCUGGUCUGAGAGGAUGAUCAGCCACACUGGGACUGAGACACGGCCCAGACUCCUACGGGAGGCAGCAGUGGGGAAUAUUGGACAAUGGGCGAAAGCCUGAUCCAGCAAUGCCGCGUGAGUGAUGAAGGCCCUAGGGUUGUAAAGCUCUUUUACCAGGGAUGAUAAUGACAGUACCUGGAGAAUAAGCUCCGGCUAACUCCGUGCCAGCAGCCGCGGUAAUAC
rnacentral:rRNA from 1 species